rnacentral:rRNA from 1 species
AGCGAACGCUGGCGGCAGGCCUAAUACAUGCAAGUCGAGCGCACCUUCGGGUGAGCGGCGGACGGGUGAGUAACGCGUGGGAACGUGCCCUUUGGUACGGGAUAACUGAGGGAACCUUCAGCUAAUACCGUAUGUGCCCUACGGGGGAAAGAUUUAUCGCCAUUGGAGCGGCCCGCGUUGGAUUAGCUAGUUGGUGGGGUAAAGGCUCACCAAGGCUACGAUCCAUAGCUGGUCUGUGAGGAUGAUCAGCCACACUGGGACUGAGACACGGCCCAGACUCCUACGGGAGGCAGCAGUAGGGAAUCUUGCGCAAUGGGCGAAAGCCUGACGCAGCCAUGCCGCGUGAAUGAUGAAGGUCUUAGGAUUGUAAAAUUCUUUCACCGGGGAAGAUAAUGACGGUACCCGGAGAAGAAGCCCCGGCUAAUUCCGUGCCAGCCGCCGCGGUAAGAC